AGAGUUUGAUCCUGGCUCAGGAUGAACGCUGGCGGCAUGCCUAACACAUGCAAGUCGAACGGGGUUUAUAUGACGGAACUCUCCGGAGGGAAGAUAUAUAAACCUAGUGGCGGACGGGUGAGUAACGCGUGGGCAACCUGCCCUGUACCGGGGGACAACAGCCAGAAAUGGCUGCUAAUACCGCAUAAGCCUGCUGUGCCGCAUGGCACAGCAGGGAAAACCACGGUGGUACAGGAUGGGCCCGCGUCUGAUUAGUUAGUUGGCAGGGUAACGGCCUACCAAGACAACGAUCAGUAGCCGGCUUGAGAGAGUGGACGGCCACAUUGGGACUGAGACACGGCCCAGACUCCUGCGGGAGGCAGCAGUGGGGAAUAUUGCACAAUGGGGGGAACCCUGAUGCAGCAAUGCCGCGUGGGUGAAAAAGCACUCCGGUGCGUAAAGCCCUGUCAGCAGGGAAGAAAAUG
rnacentral:rRNA from 1 species